AGCUCCAAUAGCGUAUAUUAAAGUUGUUGCGGUUAAAAAGCUCGUAGUUGGAUCUCGGCAGCCAGGGGGCGGUUCGCUCCAAAGCGUGACUGCCCCAUUUGGCUGUGUGAUUGGCGGAGGUUCCGGGGUGCUCUUCGUUGAGUGUCCCGGUGCGCCGUCAGGUUUACUUUGAAAAAAUUAGAGUGCUCAAAGCAGGCUUUUCAGGCUUGAAUAUUCGUGCAUGGAAUAAUGGAAUAGGAACUCGUUCCUAUUUUGUUGGUUUUCGGGAAUCAAUUUCAAACGACAGAGGUGAAAUUCUUGGACCGUUUGAAGACUAACUACUGCGAAAGCAUUUGCCAAGAGUGUUUUCA
rnacentral:rRNA from 1 species